CAAAAGGCGGAAGAAAUGCCGCUGGAGGAAAAAAUAGGUAUACCCCGGAGGAUGAAGUACAAGUCAUCCGGAGAGGAUACUUUGUAUCCAUUAAAAGAAUCAGAAGCCUUAGAACUGACUGGUAGUGACUCUGAGCAAGAGUUGUCAGAGUGGGAGGAAGAGGAAUUAGAGGAAGAGGCAGCCAUAUAUGAGGAAGAAAGAUAUGGGCCUAGGUGGAGAGCCACUGUGAAGAAACCUAAAGUUAUGGAUCCUUUGUGGGCAAGGCUGGUAAUUUUGUUUCUUUUUUUCUUUGUGUGGGAUAGAGAAGCCACAGACAGCAAGCUUAAGCCCGGACCAAAACCUCUUUGGCAAAUGGUCCCUGCCUGCUUAGAGGAUAAACGAUGUGAGGAAGCUGUUAGGACAGGUCAGAGGGUCCUUGCAGAACAACAAGAAAGUAUGUCAGAGGGAGAAAAGGUCUCGAAAGAAAAAAAGAAAAGAAAAGGAGAUAAAAGGAACAGAGAGAAGGCAGAGAUAAAAAAUGGGGUCAGUGCAGCUUUUGUUGUGGCUCAAGUUGAGGCUAUUGCUAGGUAUGUGAUUAGGCUGUGGAAACCUCACAGAGUCAUACUGAUCAGAUUUGAUAGAGGUAGACCGCCUGAAAAUUUAUUCAGGAGAAUCAAACAAAAAGAUAAACUUGAGUGUGCCUACUUGGAUUCCUGGUCUCAAGGAGAUUUAGCAAGUGACAAGGUGCUUCUCUUAAAAAAGCAGUUUCAAUCGGCCCUUGGAGCCUUGCACCUGUAGCUAAGAUAUGUGUAACCACUUCAAUUUUGUUUUCUGAUUGGUUUUAAAUGUAUAAAUAUUCUCUACAUGCCUUGGUUAUGGACUAUUGGCUUUUAAGUUAUUGGAUAUGGUUAAAAAAAUGUAACAUUGGUAACAGAAAGUUGACAUAAAACUGGAAAAUUUGGAUGGAGUCAUUCUAGAUAACAUGUGGCAUGAGCCAAUCUAGUGAAACAGGUCUAAAUUGGGAUGCCUUUGCUACAAUUUUUUACUGAACAUCCAGUGAUUUUUCCAAAGGUCACUGCCUCAGAGCCUUUGUCUGGAGCGUUAAAUAUUUAUACAGAUGGCUCCAUAUAGGUGUAGGUGCCUAUAUGGUUGAUUCUCAAGAACCAGUAUUAAUUCAAUAUAGACCAGGCACCCCCCAAAUUACAGAACGUAAAAUUGUAUUGUAAGUUUUCAAAAGAUUUCAUGAUUUUUUUAAUGACUCUGCUUAUGUAGUUAAUGCGGUGCGCUCACUUGAAAUUGCAGGGCCAAUUCGGUCAACUAGUACUGUAUGUCAAAUUCUUUUAGAAUUACAAAAUUUGAUUUGGGCCAGAAAAAAUAAAAUUUUUAUACAACAUAUUCGAGCCCAUACUAAUUUGCCUGGUCCCAUGACCAGUAAUAACACCCUGGUGGAUGCUAGUACUCAUAGAGAGUUUAUUUUUCAUGCCACUCUGGUUGAUCUCACUAGAGGAUUUCAUCAAAAGUUUCAUGUACCUGCUUUCACUCUUCAACAAAAAUUUAAAAAUCUCUAGAGCUGCAUCUUGUGAUGUGGUGUUAUGUUGCCAAAAUUGUGUUCAAUUUCACCACCCUCCUCAUGUUGGGAUUAACCCUCGUGGUCUGAUCCGGCUAAAACUUUGGCAGAUGGAUGUCACACACAUAUCUCAAUUUGGAAAUUUAAAAUAUGCUCAUGUUUCUGUUGAUACCUGUUCUGGUAUUAUACACGCUACUCUGAUGACUGGUGAAAAAGCUCGUAAUGCCAUUAGUCAUUGCUUAGAGGCAUGGGCAGCCUGGGGAAAGUCUGAUAGUCUCAAGACAGACAACGGGCCUGCCUACACUGCAAAGUCCUUUCAGGCAUUUUGCCAGACAAUGCAGUCAAACAUACUACAGGAUUGCCAUACAAUCCCCAAGGUCAAGGAAUUGUGGAAAGGGUACAUCGUAUCUUAAAAGAGCUUAUAAAAAAACAAAAAGAGAGAAUUGCCAGCGGCCAAACACCAAAAGAACAACUUUCUUUAGCUCUUUUUACUCUAAAUUUCUUAAUUUUGGAUGUGCAUGAUCGCUCUGCCGCGGAUCGCCAUGCUGCUACUAUACCUAUAACUAAUGUAGAAGUAAAGUGGAAGGAUGUCUUAACUGAUGAAUGGCGUGGCCCAGAUCCCAUGAUUUCGAGAUCUAGGGGAGCGAUUUGUGUUUUUCCGCAGAAUCAAGAAAAUCCAAUUUGGGUACCUGAGCGUUUGACUCGAAGAUUGCCUUCUGCUCUUCCUGAAGAUGAGACUACGAACCCUACUAUUACUACUGGGAAUGAAUGUUCAUGCUGUGUUACUUCUUUGAACCCAAGCAUCAUAACAUAUGAAGAAACUCAGCCAUUAGGAAGGAAGAACUCCAAGCCAGAUGCAAGCCUUACACGGAACUGAGACGCGACAGUUGGGUUCCCAGCUGAGAGCUACCAUCAACUGUCAACCAGGUGGAAGAACUAUGUUUAAAGCCUUAUCUGGCCCUAAUAUAACAGACGUUCCAGCAACCAUCACAUAAAGAACGAAAGUGACUUUAGUCCAUCCCGAGAACUGUAAGAAAAACCAUUACUGAUGUAAGUGGAGAUGCUGUGUUAGCAAUAGGAAACAAAAGUUGUGUAUUACUGCAUAGAAAGCAAAGCAUUGCAGUGCCAUUUUCAAUGGAUUUAUGACACAUUGCGUCAUUCUUCCACCAUCGUCCUUUAUUUUUGUACCAUAAGAAGAAUUUCACUAAGUUAAAAAAAAAAAAAAGGGAGGGGCUUUGCAAAUCUAAAGGGACAGAGGAAGCUCCAUGAACACAGCUGAUCAGAACGAUUCGAAGGCAGACAGAUUCCUGAGUUCCAGGUCAGCCUGGGAUGCAGCAAGUUAGGGCCCAAGAGUGAUAGAAGUGGUAAUUUCAGGACAGGGUCCCAUCCAGCUGGUUUAUCAUCUGUGUUUAACAGAGGCAAGGAAGACCUCUGAAUUCUUUUGCAAUGUUAAAAAACAAAAAUAAACAUGCUUGCUGUCCCCUAAGAAUUAAGGCUCUUUGGUCACUGUAUGCUGAUUCUUAGGAUAAUCUAAAAGGGAACAUGGAAUACAUAUGUAAGUAAGAAGCUGGGCUUUGGCCUGCAUGAGAUGAGAUAUUUCUAGGGAGAGCCUGAGCUCUCAGGAGAUCACUGGAGGGCGAAAACAGCUCUUCCAGAAUUUUUUCUGAAUAGUAUUUCUGACUUGGUCAGACAAUCCAAUAAUUUUUUAUAGCUGUUUUUCUGACUUUGGUCAGAAAACACAUGAGCUUUCCAG
ensembl:lncRNA